ensembl:snoRNA
GCAUUUUUGUAGUGUCUCAUGCCAGAACAAACUGUGGCCCCAAACCAUGGCCUGGCCUCUGUGCAUGAAGAUUGCUAACACUGAAGUGGGUUUUAUGGGG